GGGUCAGUAGGUUGGUCGUGCCACCGGUACGUACUGGUCUCACUGAUUCCUCCUUCCUGAAGAACCGUAAUGCCAUUAAUUUGGUGUUGCGGGGAAACAGGACUGUUACUUUGAAAAAAUUAGAGUGUUUAAAGCAUGCUAACGCUUGAAUACAUUAGCAUGGAAUAAUGAAAUAGGAGGAUCGAUCCUAUUUUGUUGGUUUCUAGGAUUGACGUA
rnacentral:rRNA from 1 species